AGCAGCCGCGGUAAUUCCAGCUCCAAUAGCGUAUAUUAAAGUUGUUGCAGUUAAAAGCUCGUAGUUGAAUUUCGGGGUUCUACCGUUGGUCGGGCUAUAGUCUGUACUGGCGCGUAGAAUUUCUACCUUCUGGGGAACUAUCAUGUUAUUAAUUUAGCGUGGUAGGAAACCAGAACCUUUACCUUGAAAAAUUAGAGUGUCAAAGCAGGCUUACGUCUGAAUACAUUAGCAUGGAAUAAUAAAAUAGGACGGUGGUCCUGUUUUGUUGGUUUCUGAAUCACCGUAAUGAUUAAUAGGGAUAGUUGGGGGCAUUAGUAUUCAAUUGUCAGAGGUGAAAUUCUUGGAUUUAUUGAAGACUAACUACUGCGAAAAGCAUUUGCCAAGGAUGUUUUCAUUAAUCAAGAACGAAAGUUAGGAGAUCGAAGACGAUCAGAUACCGUCGUAGUCUUAACCAUAAAACUAUGCCGACUAGGGAUCGGAUGAUGUUAAUUUUUUAAUGACUCAUUCGGCGCCUUAUCGG
rnacentral:rRNA from 1 species